rnacentral:piRNA from 1 species
UGCACAUUUCAGAUCUUGAUG